CCCAGAGGGCCUCCGAUCGCCAAGCUGCUCCGCUGCCUGCUGCCCUGCCUAGUGCCUACGAGCUGCUCCGCUUCCUGCUGCCCUGCCUAGUGCCUACGAACUGCUCCGUUGCCUGCUGCCCUGCCUACGAUGGGCUACGAGCUACGAUCAGCCUAGGGUUAGGCGAACAGGGGUUACAGCUUACGGGACAACCGGACAAGACGUCUUAGCCUCUUAGGCACCAUAGCCCAUCUUCUCCAUUCGCCAUGGGAUUCCCAGAUAACCAGAGUCCAUGGCCCUCUUCUUCUUCCUUCCGACGCUCCAAUCCUCUAACUCUGGCGACGCUCCGCCUCCGGUGCUGCCUCCUCCCGUCCUCCACCUCAACUACAUCAAAUCUGCUGGAAGAACACCAACCCAGUAGUGUUUUUCUUGAGGUACAAGUACAACCUAAUCUACCAGAUGUUAACUUCCUACCGACUCUUCGCCUUUCUUUGAUGCUAUGCACGUGUUUGCUGUUUUGUUCCAAUGAUUUUUUUAUUUUUUUAUAAAAUACUUACCAGAUGCUGUUUUCAGACAAGAGAUGUGGUUCUUGUUCUUUGUUUCUGUUGUUCUUGAUGAUCUCUGAAGGAAUGAAUGCACUUAAUCUGCAGUCCUAGCAUUUAUUUACCUUCUGGUCCCUUGAUUUUCCUUUGUUCAGUGAUCAUCGAUGGAAGAUUUCGAGGUUUUUUCUUGGAAGUAGACCAAUCUUAGGUAUUCUUUUUAUUUUCUAGUAAUUUUAUUUUUGAUUCUGUUCUGUUUUGGAUUUUUUAGGAUUUUCUAAUGUUUAAUCUUUGAAGAAAUUUUUGUUAUGAAUUAUAGAUUCGUUCUGUUUUAUGGAAUUCCAGAGGCAUUUAAAAGCUGACCAUUCAUUUUCUUAACCUUCCACUGCUAUCUUAAUCUGCAGUCCUAGCAUUUAUUUACCUUCUGGUCCCUUGAUUUUUCUUUGUCUAGUGAUGGAAUUGCUACCUAGUCUUGAUGCUACUUCCUUGUGAUCAACUCUUGACCAGUUGACUUAUGUGCUCCCAAAUUUUCUUUACAUAUGUGAACAGCAUACCAUUUAACUCUUUUCACUUUUUUCUUGGUCACUCAUUCUUUAUUAUGAUCCUUUUUCUAGUAUGAUUAUAGGUUAUUGCACUUUGAAGUGCAAUCAGUAUUAUGCUAAUCUAAUUGUUAUGUAAUUCGUUCGAUUUUCUUUUUUGUCAGAAUUCGAGAAAGUUGUGGACAAUAUUCAAGGUUCAAUUCCAAAAGUUGAAUGGAAUUUUGAGGGUACUCAUUGCUUUGACAAUGGGCCACUUACAGCUCAGUACCUAUUUUGUUUUGGACGCAUUGAACUUUUGUUUUUGGCCAGGUCGAUUUUUCUUUCUUUCAAUUAACACAAAUCCUUACAUUCAACCGUCCUUGUUAUUUGGAGCAUGUUAUGUUAUGGCGCAUCACACUUAAAGUUUUAGUAAUUGGUGUUAAAAGUAUUUUAAUAAAUUUUGAGCUUAAAAAUUUGAUUAGUAAUUUUGUAUUUCAAAAAAUGGACGAAUUAUUUUUAAAUAAAAUUUUAAAAUAUUUUAUACUUAUUAAAUUUUUUUAUUAAAAAAAAGGCCUUUCUGUCUUAGGCUUUCAAAUGCAUUAGGCCGGCCCUGUGCCAAUGAGGCAGAUUCUCACAGGACAAAUGGACAAUCAGUUUCUAUGUAGAAUACGAAAACAGAGCAGAGAGGUUCUUAAUGGGAUGAGGAUUGUUCUAAGUGAUCUUUGAAAUUCUAAAAUCAAACUUUAUUACCAUUUUGGAAAUAAUCAGCUAGAAGAGUCCAAGCAGUUUGUGAACUUGAAAAAAAUGGAAAAGGAUCUGUUGUUACCAGAUUUUUCUAUGGUUUUUCAGCUAAGAAUAGUGCAAUCAGUUUAGAACUUCUGAAACGAAGGCAGAACACAUUGUUUGUUAACAGGAGGGGUCCUUGAUGGGAUUUCUCCUGAAAUUUGGAUGGGCAGUGGGGGGAGCAUGGACUGUUCUAGCUGUUUUCAUGGAGUUGAGGCUGAGCUGGAAGGAGAGCAUGGCCCAGAUGUAGAGGGCUUUGGGGGUAAGGAGAGGGGAGGGAUUGGAGUUGGGGUGGAAGAGGUGGGCGAGGCGAGGCUGUUGGGGAUGAAGAUGAGGUGGCCGAUGCAUAAGCUGGCUUGGUUGAGCAUGAUCAUAAGGCGUUGACAGCAACGUGGCCAGUGGUGCCGGCGACGGCGAGGCUGAGGUCACUGAAAUAGGUGAUCUUGGAGAAGCCUUAGUUGAGGUCGAGGUGGCAGCGGGUGCAGACAUGGAGGAGCAUGCAAUGAAGGUGAAGGCGGCAACGAUGGCGAGGAGGAGGGUGCCGGCAACCCACCCAGUGCGCAUGAAGGUGUAGAGGAGGCCAGCAUCGACAAUUGUGAUGCAGAAGAUGUUUGGGAAGGUCUUGAGCUAGGAGGAGAGGUGGGCGGCGGAGGGGUGUGACGGGAGGUGAGGGCUCGUCGAGUCUGUCAGGCCAUGGGAGGCUCUUGCGAAACUGUGAGUUCUUGCUUUGGGGUUAUUCUCGCCUCUAACAAUUUUGAAUCUCCCAGCAAGCCAUCACAGUAAACUCAUAUUGGUUGACAUUGAUGUAUGCCAUUGCUUUAUUCUUCCAUUUUCUAAUCACAGUUGCAGGUGGAUCAAAAACAGCAUUAUUAAUUUUUUACUAGCAGAUGUCUGGAGUGCCUGUUACUGCGUUACAAGUCCAAAGAAGGGUUUUCGUGGAUGGGGAUCUUAAACUUUCCAGAUCACUUGACCUAAGUGACAGUGUUCAUGGUUUUUGACUGAUGCAUCUUUAUUUCAUUGAGGUGAUGGAAUAUGUCAUGCAAACUUAUGUGGCUGUGCAGCUUUCGGCUGCAGAGAAGGAGCUUCACUGGGAGGGAGGGAGGGAGAGAGAGAGAGAGAGAGAGAGAGAGAGAGAGAGAGAGAGAGAGAGAGAGUUCAUCUCUCUCAUGAGCUUGCUGGGUUCACAAAGCAUUUUGUAUUUAGGUCACUGGCUCAGGGUUAAUGACUGUAAAUAUUCUUGAGGAAAAAAUGGGGAGUGCUGCUUUUCAUCCAUUGUCCAUCUAGACCUUAAGGUGUGAGAAGCCGAAUAUGAGCUAGCUGGGGAACUUCCUCGUACAGAAAAUAAGAGCUUCUUUUGUGGUGGGUAGAUGAAAGCUUGGGUUCCCAUCACCGUCAACAUACUGAAGUGGCUGCCUGCAGAUCGAUCAGCUGGCUCGGAAGAGUGGGAGGUUGAAUCAGUGAUAAAUUAUCAAUUUUCAGGUGUUCAUGCAUAUCUUUUCCAGCAGAUCCUGGUGCCUUUGAUGAUAACUCUCUCUCUUCUUAGAGUUCUCUGUAUUUUUGUGUGCUGUCUGCAAAAUGGUUUCCAAUCCAUAUUUGAUGCUCCUUUGAGAUGGGGUUGAGCUACUUCAGUGUUCAUGCUCAUCCUGACACCAAGGCGAUAUGCAUAAAUUGUAGUUCUGAUGUUUAAGUGAUGCUAUUUUAAAAGAUGGCAAAUUGAGUAAUGCAGAGACUGUUCAAACAUUGUUUUAUGACAUGAAACCCUUCCAUUUGCAUGCUCUGUCAUGUAAAUUUCAGCAA